UACGAAGGGAGCUAGCGUUGUUCGGAAUCACUGGGCGUAAAGCGCACGUAGGCGGAUGUGUCAGUCAGGGGUGAAAUCCCGGGGCUCAACCUCGGAACUGCCUUUGAUACAGCACGUCUUGAGUCCGAUAGAGGUGGGUGGAAUUCCUAGUGUAGAGGUGAAAUUCGUAGAUAUUAGGAAGAACACCGGUGGCGAAGGCGGCCCACUGGAUCGGUACUGACGCUGAGGCGCGAAAGCUAGGGGAGCAAACGGG
rnacentral:rRNA from 1 species